UACGAAGGGGGCUAGCGUUGCUCGGAAUUACUGGGCGUAAAGCGCACGUAGGCGGCUCAGCAAGUCAGGGGUGAAAUCCCGGGGCUCAACCCCGGAACUGCCCUUGAAACUGCUAAGCUAGAAUCUUGGAGAGGCGAGUGGAAUUCCGAGUGUAGAGGUGAAAUUCGUAGAUAUUCGGAAGAACACCAGUGGCGAAGGCGACUCGCUGGACAAGUAUUGACGCUGAGGUGCGAAAGCGUGGGGAGCAAACAGG
rnacentral:rRNA from 1 species